rnacentral:misc_RNA from 1 species
GGUUUGAUUAUGGCUCAGAUUGAACGCUGGCGGGAUGCUUUACACAUGCAAGUCGAACAGCAGCACGGACUUCGGUCUGGUGGCGAGUGGCGAACGGGUGAGUGUAUCGGAACGUGCCUAGUAGCGGGGGAUAACUACGCGAAAGCGUAGCUAAUACCACAUACGCCCUUCGGGGAAAGCGGGGGACCUUCGGGCCUCGCACUAUUAAGAGCGCGGCCGAUAUCGGAUAACCCGGCUCGCAAGACGCGAUUAGCUGGUUUGAGAGGACGACCAGCCACUGGGACUGAAGUUGCAGCCCAGACCUACGGGAGGCAGCAGUGGGGAAUUUUAGUAUUAGAAGUGAUCCAGCCAUCCCGCGUGUGCGAUGAAGGCCUUCGGGUUGUAAACACUUUUGGUAGGAAAGAAACGGCACGGGAUAAUACCCGUGCAACUGACGGUACCUGCAGAAUGGCACCGGCUAACUACGUGCCAGCAGCCGCGGUAAUACGUAGGGUGCAAGCGUUCAAUCUGAGCCAUAGUAAACC